rnacentral:lncRNA from 1 species
CUCUGUCCUGUGCCAGUGUAGGGAUGUGCCAUGAACACUACAGCACUCAGCUGCUUCCAGCCUGUGGAAUAACUGAUGGAUAACACAAGAGAGGAGUCCCUGGGAGUGGGAUCUCCUCUGCAGGACCAAGAGGCAGAUUUAAACUCCCUGCUGAAUGGUGCUGGCCAGGAAAGCCAUUUGACAGUAUCUACUGCUCAGUAUUCAGCACAUCAGCAAGCCCCAGGUUUUUUUAUUCAUUCUGGAAGAGGAGAAUGACUGUUCCACACUACCCUGUGUUUGCAGGUUUGUAUCUGUUCAGGGCCAAAGGGACAUGAGCACAAACUCUGCGAGGUUUGUUUAUAUGGGUUGUCUGAGCACAGGCAGUGCUUUGGUGAAAUAACUGCUUUUCAGCUCUUUGUCUCAAGCCUCACUUUCAAA